UACGUAGGGGGCAAGCGUUGUCCGGAUUUAUUGGGCGUAAAGAGCUCGUAGGCGGUUCGGCGAGUCAGAUGUAAAAACUCCAGGCUCAACUUGGAGAGGCCAUCUGAUACUGCCGUGACUAGAGUCCGGUAGAGGAGCACGGAAUUCCUGGUGUAGCGGUGAAAUGCGCAGAUAUCAGGAGGAACACCAGCGGCGAAGGCGGUGCUCUGGGCCGGAACUGACGCUGAGGAGCGAAAGCGUGGGGAGCGAACAGG
rnacentral:rRNA from 1 species